ACCCUCCCUUCCUUAUUUUCUGUUCUGAUUCGAUUCUCACCACACCUUCUUCGAUUCAGAUCGCAUGAGGUUGGGAUGGUGAGUCUGGUGGUGCUAAUCGGAUUUUUGUGGUAAAUCAAGAAGAGGUUAAGGCGUGUAUUUCAUUUUUUUUUCUUUUUUUAUUAAACUCGAUCACAACCCCUUCUUCUUUCUCUCUUCUGAAUCAAUCUUAUUUUACUUUUUUUUUUUUAUCUUUUUUGAUGGCAGAUGUGUGUUGGCUUGCGGGUAUGGUGGGUUAUGGUGGUCUGGUGGUGUGUGAUGUGGGUAACGUUAGAGGUGAUGAUCACAUUGAUGAACAGGGGAGAAGAAGGUGAGGAUAGCUGAUUAGAAGGGGUGACAACGGGAUGGCUGUAAUGGAGUUCAAGGUUGGUGGUGUAUGGUGGUGAUAGUACCGAUUACGAUCCAAAAAGAGAUCACAUCAAAUCCGGAACUUGAAUAAUUAAUCGUUAAUCAAGAUGAAGAAUGAAUGAGACAUACAAACAGGAUAGAAAAAAGGGAAAAUUGCGUAAUCUGAACCUUGACUUCUAGUGUUCUUAAAAAAUGGAGAACAACUUUGACCCCAACUUCAUGGGCUUCUACCUUGAUUUCUGAUUUGCAGGUAACAAGGGAUGGCAAUGGUAGUAACCGUCAAGGGAGUGAGGAAGAUGAUAAAGCUUUGGGUGGAUAAGGAAGUCGACGCUUUUCUUUCUGUGGGUUACACAUGUGUAGAGAGAGAGAGAGAGGGGCAUCUUUCUCAAUCUUAACUAAUAAAAAACAUUUGAAUAAAUAUAAAAAAACAAAUAUAAGGGUAUAAUAGUCUUUUUAUGUUGAUAGGGACCAAAAACAAUAGAAA
rnacentral:lncRNA from 1 species